rnacentral:rRNA from 1 species
CCUACGGGAGGCAGCAGUGAGGAAUAUUGGUCAAUGGACGGGAGGCUGAACCAGCCAAGUCGCGUGAGGGAUGACGGCCCUAUGGGUUGUAAACCUCUUUUGUAGGGGAACAAAAUGCGCGACGUGUGCCGGUUUGUAUGUAUCCGAAGAAAAAGCAUCGGCUAACUCCGUGCCAGCAGCCGCGGUAAUACGGAGGAUCCGAGCGUUAUCCGGAUUUAUGGGGGUUAAAGGGUGCGUCGGGGGGUCUGUAAGUCAGUGGGUAAAAUUUGGGGGCCAACCCCCGCCUGGCAGUUGAAACUGGCAGACUUGAGUUGACGAGAAGUACGCGGAAUGCGUGGUGUAGCGGUGAAAUGCAUAGAUAUCACGAAGAACUCCGAUUGCGAAGGCAGCUUACCGGCUCCCGACUGACGCUGAGGCACGAAAGUGUGGGGAUCGAACAGGAUUAGAUACCCUAGUAGUC